GGUAUCCUAACCGUGCAAAGGUAGCAUAAUCAUUUGUCUACUAAUUAUAGACCUGUAUGAAAGGCAAAAUGAGGGUCUAACUGUCUCUUAUAGUAAAUCAAUUAAACUGAUCUCCUAGUAAAAAAGCUAGAAUUUUAACAUAAGACCAGAAGACCCUGUGAAGCUUAAACUAAACUAUUAAAACUAAUAAUAACUACUUUCGGUUGGGGCGACCUUGGAAAAAAAAAGAACUUCCAAAUACUAUGAUAUAAUCAUACACAACUUAGGCCAACAAGCCACCUACGACCCAGCAUAGCUGAAAAUUGAAACAAGUUACUCCAGGGAUAACAGCGCAAUCUUCUUCAAGAGCCCAUAUCAAAAAGAAGGUUUACGACCUCGAUGUUGGAUCAGGACAUCCUAAUGGUGCAGCAGCUAUUAAGGGUUCGUUUGUUCAACGAUUAACAGUCCUACGUGAUCUGA
rnacentral:rRNA from 1 species